rnacentral:rRNA from 1 species
UACGAAGGGUGCAAACGUUGCUCGGAAUUAUUGGGCGUAAAGCGCACGUAGGCGGCUUUGCAAGUUCGAUGUGAAAUCCCUCGGCUCAACCAAGGAAGUGCAUCGAAAACUGCAGAGCUUGAGUACAAAAGAGGAUCGCGGAAUUCCCGGUGUAGAGGUGAAAUUCGUAGAUAUCGGGAGGAACACCAGUGGCGAAGGCGACUACCUGGCCUGUUCUUGACGCUGAGGCGCGAAAGCUAGGGGAGCAAACGGG